rnacentral:rRNA from 1 species
GUGGGGAAUCUUGCACAAUGGGGGAAACCCUGAUGCAGCGACGCCGCGUGAGCGAUGAAGCCCUUCGGGGUGUAAAGCUCUUUCGGCGGGAACGAUCAUGACGGUACCCGCAAAAGAAGCUGCGGCUAACUACGUGCCAGCAGCCGCGGUAAUACGUAGGCAGCGAGCGUUGUUCGGAGUUACUGGGCGUAAAGAGUGUGUAGGCGGCUCGGUUCGUUCGGUGUGAAAUCUCCCGGCUUAACCGGGAGGGUGCGCCGAAUACUGCCGGGCUCGAGUGCGGGAGAGGAGAGCGGAAUUCCUGGUGUAGCGGUGAAAUGCGUAGAUAUCAGGAGGAACACCGGCGGUGGAGACGGCUCUCUGGACCGUGACUGACGCUGAGACACGAAAGCGUGGGGAGCAAACAGGAUUAGAAACCCCUGUAGUCC